GACGAACGCUGGCGGCGUGCUUAACACAUGCAAGUCGAACGGAAAGGCCCUGCUUUUGUGGGGUGCUCGAGUGGCGAACGGGUGAGUAACACGUGAGUAACCUGCCCUUGACUUUGGGAUAACUUCAGGAAACUGGGGCUAAUACCGGAUAGGAGCUCCUGCUGCAUGGUGGGGGUUGGAAAGUUUCGGCGGUUGGGGAUGGACUCGCGGCUUAUCAGCUUGUUGGUGGGGUAGUGGCUCACCAAGGCUUUGACGGGUAGCCGGCCUGAGAGGGUGGCCGGCCACAUUGGGACUGAGGUACGGCCCAGACUCCUACGGGAGGCAGCAGGGGGGAAUAUGGCACAAUGGGCGGAAGCCUGAUGCAGAAACGCCGCGUGCGGGAUGACGGCCUUCGGGGUGUAAACCGCUUUCGCCUGUGACGAAGCGUGAGUGACGGUAAUGGGUAAAGAAGCACCGGCUAACUACGUG
rnacentral:rRNA from 1 species